rnacentral:rRNA from 1 species
UACGUAGGGUGCGAGCGUUGUCCGGAAUUAUUGGGCGUAAAGGGCUCGUAGGCGGUUUGUCGCGUCGGUCGUGAAAUCAUCUGGCUUAACUGGGUGCUUGCUUUCGAUACGGGCAGACUAGAGGUAUGCAGGGGAGAACGGAAUUCCUGGUGUAGCGGUGAAAUGCGCAGAUAUCAGGAGGAACACCGGUGGCGAAGGCGGUUCUCUGGGAAUGAUCUGACGCUGAGGAGCGAAAGCGUGGGGAGCGAACAGG